CGAAGCCGGAGCUGUCUCGCCUGCAAUUUGCAGUCUGGAGGGUCGCGAGUUCGAUGCCCAGACGGGGGAUGAGUCUGGGUUCCGAAGCGAUGCUUCCGUUGCUGAAGCUUCCGUCUAUAGAGAUUGAUCGAGUUUUGAAAACAAGCAUACUGAAAUUUAUGAUGGCGGAAAUAAUGCAAUAUCUAAACGGAUGUAAAGAUGAUACGACGAUUCGGAAUUUAAAAUUAAUGAAAACAAAUGAGAUGUUCUAGAUUUUUCUAGAUUAGGUUAUGAAGAUAUUUGGCGGGAAACAAUAUGAACCAAGACUUAAACUAUAUUAACGCAGAAUCUUACUAUAAUCCAGCUGCUAAGCUGGUCUACCGGUUAUUUGGUCACAGAAGAAAAUAAUCAAGGAACUUUAUACCGGUCACAGAAGAAAAUAAUCAAGGAACUUUAUGACCGGGUUGGGUGAGUUCCGGCAUUUUGUAUUUUCAGGCGAAAUUACACUUUAGAUCUGUAAUUACAUUGCUAUCAAAGGUCUUAAAGAUACGAGAUUAAAGAGAGGAUGGUGAGUGAGCUGCUGGACAUGGGAGUUACCAUCAGGUGAUAUUUAACAACUAUCUAUAUUAAAAAAUGGGACAAUUAUAAUUAAGCCCAUAUCACACCGACAUUAUCUAGUCGGUAACACAGGGGAGUUCAGUACCAAAAGGCUUUAAAAGGUAAGUUUGCAAAAAAUGGUUAUUAAAAUAUAACGGAAGAUGGA